rnacentral:rRNA from 1 species
GACGAACGCUGGCGGCGUGCUUAACACAUGCAAGUCGAACGGAAAGGCCCUGCUUUUGUGGGGUGCUCGAGUGGCGAACGGGUGAGUAACACGUGAGUAACCUGCCCUUGACUUUGGGAUAACUUCAGGAAACUGGGGCUAAUACCGGAUAGGAGCUCCUGCUGCAUGGUGGGGGUUGGAAAGUUUCGGCGGUUGGGGAUGGACUCGCGGCUUAUCAGCUUGUUGGUGGGGUAGUGGCUUACCAAGGCUUUGACGGGUAGCCGGCCUGAGAGGGUGACCGGCCACAUGGGGACUGAGAGAGGCCCCAGCGUCCAAUGGGAGGCAGCGGGGGGAAAUAUUGCACAGUGGGCGGAGGCCGGAUGCGGAAGCGCCGGGGGCGGGAUGACGGCCUUCGGGUUGAAAACCGCUUCCGCCUGUGACGAAGCGGGGGUGACGGUAAUGGGAAAAGAAGCACCGGCUAACUACGUG